UACGAAGGGGGCUAGCGUUGCUCGGAAUCACUGGGCGUAAAGCGCACGUAGGCGGAUUGUUAAGUCAGGGGUGAAAUCCUGGAGCUCAACUCCAGAACUGCCUUUGAUACUGAGAAGCUUGAGUCCGGGAGAGGUGAGUGGAACUGCGAGUGUAGAGGUGAAAUUCGUAGAUAUUUCGCAAGAACACCAGUGGCGAAGGCGGCUACUGGCCCGGUACUGACGCUGGAGGUGAGAAC
rnacentral:rRNA from 1 species